GAUGAACGCUGGCGGCGUGCCUAAUACAUGCAAGUCGAGCGAACGGACGAGAAGCUUGCUUCUCUGAUGUUAGCGGCGGACGGGUGAGUAACACGUGGAUAACCUACCUAUAAGACUGGGAUAACUUCGGGAAACCGGAGCUAAUACCGGAUAAUAUUUUGAACCGCAUGGUUCAAAAGUGAAAGACGGUCUUGCUGUCACUUAUAGAUGGAUCCGCGCUGCAUUAGCUAGUUGGUAAGGUAACGGCUUACCAAGGCAACGAUGCAUAGCCGACCUGAGAGGGUGAUCGGCCACACUGGAACUGAGACACGGUCCAGACUCCUACGGGAGGCAGCAGUAGGGAAUCUUCCGCAAUGGGCGAAAGCCUGACGGAGCAACGCCGCGUGGGUGAUGAAGGUCUUCGGAUCGUAAAACUCUGUUAUUAGGGAAGAACAUAUGUGUAAGUAACUGUGCACAUCUUGACGGUACCUAAUCAGAAAGCCACGGCUAACUACGUGCCAGCAGCCGCGGUAAUACGUAGGUGGCAAGCGUUAUCCGGAAUUAUUGGGCGUAAAGCGCGCGUAGGCGGUUUUUUAAGUCUGAUGUGAAAGCCCACGGCUCAACCGUGGAGGGUCAUUGGAAACUGGAAAACUUGAGUGCAGAAGAGGAAAGUGGAAUUCCAUGUGUAGCGGUGAAAUGCGCAGAGAUAUGGAGGAACACCAGUGGCGAAGGCGACUUUCUGGUCUGUAACUGACGCUGAUGUGCGAAAGCGUGGGGAUCAAACAGGAUUAGAUACCCUGGUAGUCCACGCCGUAAACGAUGAGUGCUAAGUGUUAGGGGGUUUCCGCCCCUUAGUGCUGCAGCUAACGCAUUAAGCACUCCGCCUGGGGAAUACGACCGCAAGGUUGAAACUCAAAGGAAUUGACGGGGACCCGCACAAGCGGUGGAGCAUGUGGUUUAAUUCGAAGCAACGCGAAGAACCUUACCAAAUCUUGACAUCCUUUGACAACUCUAGAGAUAGAGCCUUCCCCUUCGGGGGACAAAGUGACAGGUGGUGCAUGGUUGUCGUCAGCUCGUGUCGUGAGAUGUUGGGUUAAGUCCCGCAACGAGCGCAACCCUUAAGCUUAGUUGCCAUCAUUAAGUUGGGCACUCUAAGUUGACUGCCGGUGACAAACCGGAGGAAGGUGGGGAUGACGUCAAAUCAUCAUGCCCCUUAUGAUUUGGGCUACACACGUGCUACAAUGGACAAUACAAAGGGCAGCGAAACCGCGAGGUCAAGCAAAUCCCAUAAAGUUGUUCUCAGUUCGGAUUGUAGUCUGCAACUCGACUACAUGAAGCUGGAAUCGCUAGUAAUCGUAGAUCAGCAUGCUACGGUGAAUACGUUCCCGGGUCU
rnacentral:rRNA from 1 species